rnacentral:rRNA from 1 species
UCUGGUUGAUCCUGCCAGUAGUCAUAUGCUUGUCUCAAAGAUUAAGCCAUGCAUGUCUAAGUACAAACCUUAAUACGGUGAAACCGCGAAUGGCUCAUUAAAUCAGCUAUGGUUCCUUAGAUCGUCUCAUCCUACUCGGAUAACUGUGGAAAAUCUAGAGCUAAUACGUGCUUACAAGCCCUGACCUCACGGGAGGGGCGCAUUUAUUAGAUCAAAACCAAUCGGGGCUUGCCCCGUCUGCUUGGUGACUCUGGAUAACUUUUGUGCUGAUCGCAUGGCCUCUGCGCUGGCGACGUAUCUUUCAAGUGUCUGCCCUAUCAACUUACGAUGGUAGGUGAUAUGCCUACCAUGGUUAUAACGGGUAACGGGGAAUCAGGGUUCGAUUCCGGAGAGGGAGCCUGAGAAACGGCUACCACAUCUAAGGAAGGCAGCAGGCGCGCAAAUUACCCACUCCCGGCACGGGGAGGUAGUGACGAAAAAUAACGAUACGGGACUCUUUUGAGGCCCGUAAUUGGAAUGAGUACACUUUAAAUCCGUUAACAAGUAUCUAUUGGAGGGCAAGUCUGGUGCCAGCAGCCGCGGUAAUUCCAGCUCCAAUAGCGUAUAUUAAUGUUGCUGCAGUUAAAAAGCUCGUAGUUGGAUCUGAGGACUCGAAUUGGUGGUGCACCAUACGGUGUUACUGCCGAUUCGGCCUACCUAGUCGGUGCUCGCUCUUGGUGUUCUUAAUUGAAUGCCCUGAGUGCCCGGCAAGUUUACUUUGAAAAAAUUAGAGUGCUCAAAGCAGGCCAUUAGCCGGAAUACUUCAGCAUGGAAUAAUGGAAUAGGACUUCGGUUCUAUUUUGUUGGUUUUCGGAACCCGAGGUAAUGAUUAAGAGAGACAGACGGGGGCAUUCGUACUGCGGUGUUAGAGGUGAAAUUCUUGGAUCGCCGCAAGACGAACAACUGCGAAAGCAUUUGCCAAGAAUGUUUUCAUUAAUCAAGAACGAAAGUCAGAGGUUCGAAGACGAUCAGAUACCGUCCUAGUUCUGACCAUAAACGAUGCCAACUGGCGAUCCGAGAUCGUUUGCUUAUUGACCUCUCGGGCAGCCUCCGGGAAACCAAAGUUUUUAGGUUCCGGGGGAAGUAUGGUUGCAAAGCUGGAAACUGUUCAAUUGCAACUCUGCCUGUGACACCAAGUGGUCGGGUUACUUGGUCUGUUCUGGCCCGGAGUCGGUAGGGUUUCCGGCCUUGUGCUCUUUCCUUACUGUUCUCUGUAACGCCGAAGGCGGGGCUUCCACGGUGGGGAAGCGGUUGUACAAAUCCGGCAAAUCCAGCCAAAUGGGUUCCGGACUCUGUCCAACCUGCAACUGGUAACAGCCUCGGCUGGCUAACAUUUGAGCUGGGACUCGCUUGGGAGGAGCGAGGAUAAUAUAAACCUCUAUGUGACUGAGGUGAGGAAUCUGGUUCUCGUAAAAUGGCUGGAGAUCCCGAGCCUGUAAGUCAUAAAUUAGUUCCCCACGAGGGGAGGUGUCGAAUUGAAGCCAGUGCGUGCCCUUACUAGUUUAAGGGAUUGUAUACUUCCUUUGGUGUACCCACCUGGAAGUGCCCAAGGGGUCCUAUCCCUGCACU